rnacentral:lncRNA from 1 species
UCAAUAUAACAUUCAAAAUAAUAAGAAGAAGAAAAAGAAAAUUAAAUAGGAAAGGCUGAAUUAAAUUUUCACACUUUUAGUUGCCUCUUACAGUAUACAGGUCAAACAAUGGAUGAAUUCUGAUUAUCAAUAAUAUGAAAAUUAUAGUAAUAAUAAUGAUAACAUAACUGCUUAAAGGUGAUGUCUAACCUAUUAAAAAUUGCAUAUGGAUUCUUGUUGUUAUGUUCAUUCUUGUGUAUGUAAUGAAUAAAAAUGGCUAGAGAAUUAUAGUGAUCCAUCAUCAGGAAUUCUGUACCUGAACCGUGAUGCAGGGCACUAAGAAGAUAAGCUCUUUAUAAGAAUAACUUCAUAGCACAAUUCAAUUUUAAAAUUUUGCAUGUUGUGAUGUUUGAACCGAAGGUGCCCAUCCCAGGCAAAGUUGUCCAUCAACAUUAUUGUUUGACUCAGGAGUCAACAAUAACAAUGGUCAAGUUGCCGUGGUCCAUAGAUGGUGUCCUUUGCCAUCUGGUCUGGGGUUAGGAGUUCCAUGAGAUGUCAGAAAAAAAUUUCAGAUGAAUAGUACUCCAGUUCACAUAUUAGAACUUGAUUAGACUAAUGAGAAAAUUCAAAAUUACAUAUAAUAAUAAUAGUAAUGAUGAUACCAAUAAAGAGCAGUUAUGAUGACAAAGCAGCACAAGAUGAAGACAAUUCAAUAAAAGAUAAUGACUAACAAGCACUGAACAAAGACUGGAGAAUUCUGAUGAGGAAAGUGGUGAAUUCUGUUGAUCUCAAUGAACAGAUAGUUAAUAUACAUAUGAAAGUAUGUCCGGGCAUGAGCCGAGAACUCAGACAAAUUUACAUAAUCUUAUGGUUAAUAGAAAUGAAUUUAUAUAUGGGUACAAUGAAUACAGGUCGUGCUACACUUCUAUCUCCAGUCUGUCAUCUUUCCAUUUCCAUUGGUGAUAGAUUCAACAAUAAAGAGGUGACAUGCAACUCCAGGUAAGUUAGUAAAAAUGAAGACUAAUGAAAAAUGAUAUAAGUCAGUAAAUAAACAUUUUAAAUAGUUAGUUGUUUGGUUUUUUUAUUAACUUCAUGUAGUUGGCUACAGCCAAAAUUUCUCAA